GGCCGGGUGGCGCAAUGGUAGCGCGUUGCUUUCCGGUAAAUGGAGGUUGGCAGAAGUUGCGGGUUCGUAAGUUGAAUGAGGUUCGUUCUCCAGUAUUUCAGACCUAAUGAGCAUGGUAGAAGUCCCGUCUCGGUCG